rnacentral:lncRNA from 1 species
UUUCCUUUCAAGAAAGGUUUUUAAGCUCAAUCUUUUCUUUCCAUCUCUCUUAAUUUUUAUUCCUACUCUCUCCCUCUAAAAUUGAACCGGAGUCACUUCAACUUUCAAACUUUGUCCAUUCCCAACCCUUCUCUCUGUUUAAGUUUCCUCAUCAAAACUCCAUUUUGUUCUAAAUUUUAGUUUUCCUCAGUAGUUGAAGAAGAAAGGUGACGAGCGUCAAUGGACACUUGGAUCACGUCACAUUUCAAAAUCAAAGGGGCAAGAUAAGGUAUGAGUUAUUACAUUCUCUUUUCAAUAAAUGCUUCAAACAUAACUAGAGGGUGACUUUGGCAUGAUGAAAUAAUGUGAAACUUAAUUCAAAUUUUAAAAAUCUUGCUUGAAUCAUGAAAUUCACAUAAGAAAAUCCAAUUAUUAUGUUUUUUCUAUUGAUAGAAAAUCUAUUUAGAUGUUUGUUCUUUUGCUUUGAAAAAUGAUUAGGCAUGACUUUGAUAUGUUUGAUUAAAUGUCGUAGUGAAUAAUGGAUUGUCUUUCUGUUUAGGUGGUUUUGAAAGUGGCAUGCCACUUAUUUUGGUUCAGUAAAAAACAAAGAUUUCUUUCCCAAAAUUUCAAAGUAGAUGAUGAAUUGCGAAGCUUUCAUAAGAUACUUCGAUUGUAGUUAGAUAUUUUUUGAAAAAUUUAGCCAAACAUGUAUAGAUUCUUCUCUUGAAAUUACUUCUGACAUGUUUAUAAAUAGUUCGGUUAAAUGCUUGAAUGGUUGAGAGUUGGGUUGAAUUAUGAUUUCUUAUGGUCAUCAUAAGAUGAUUAUUACAAAGUUUAUUCGUCCUUGGGCCAAAAAAAAUUUCCUCAUCAUAUUCUCUCUUCUGUGAAAAAGACCAAAAUACCCUUGAGGGAAGAAUGACCAGAAUACUCAUGAGUGCAAACUCUACUUUUUGGGGGUACUCCAAAGUGAUUAGUACUAUCCCUUAUUUCUAGGGAUGGUAGAAUGACCACAAUGCCCUUUGGGUGUAAAAUGUCCAAAAAUACCCCUGAGUGCAAAAUGACCAGAAUAUCCUUGAGUGCAAACUGUUCUUUUCGGAGAUAAUCAUGAGUGAUUAGUAAUGCUUUCUAGGGAUGGUAGAAUGAUCACAAUGCCCUUUGGGUGUAAAAUGACAAAAAAAUAACAGUGAGUGUAAAAUGACUAGAAUACCCCUGAGUGCAAACUUCUUUUCGAGGGUAAUUCCGAGUGUUUAGUACUGCCUCAUAUUUUUAGGGAUGAUAGAAUGAUUACAAUGCCCUUUGGGUGUAAAAUGACCAAAAAUACCCCUGAGUGUAAAAUGACCAGAAUACCCUUGAGUGUAAAAUGACCAGAUUACCCUUGAGUGCAAACUGUACUUUCGGGGGUAAUCCUGAGUGAUUAGUAUUUCCCCUUAUAUCUAGGGAUGGUAAAAUGACCACAAUGUCCUUUAGGUGCAAAAUGACCAAAAUACCCUUUAGUGCAAAAAUGAGCAGAAUACCCCUGAGUGCAAACUCUAAUUUUCGAGGGUAAUCCUGAGUGAUUAGUACUUAACCUUAUUUAUGAGGAUGGUAGUUUCUGUUUCAUGGCAAGGAGAUGAAGCGACAGUUGAGGACUGCCUAUCUUAGUGAGGGUCGGACUUCUGAUGGGGAAGUUGCUUCUCUUCGUGCUGAGCGUGAUUCGGUGGCAAGGGAGAGAGAUUCGAUCGCAGAGGAUCUCAAGAGUCUUCGCUGGGAGUUUGAGGGGAUGAGAGAGGCGAAGGACAUGGCAGUGGCAGAGCAUGAUUCUAUAAGGAAAGAGUUAGAGAGGGUUCGAGCCGAGUUGAAGAGAGCGCGAUCGGUAAUGACUUCUUCUAUUGUUGUUCCCACCCUUCCUGAACCAUCUCCUAUCCUCAUUGGAGAUUUGGAUAGACGUUUGGUCAGGAAGGAUGUGGUUCUAGAUCGUUACCGAAUGGAGAGGGUAUGUUUUGCUUUUAUCUUUAUACUGUUUGGCGGUCUCCCCUCUUUUCUUUUCUUCUUCUUCUUUUUUUGUUUUUUGUUUUCUAUUUUUUGCGACCUCUCUGAUUUUUGUGUUUUUGGUUUAACAAGACUUGGCCAAAGAUCAAUGUCAUGAGCUUCUGGAGGAUUUGAAAGGUCUUAUAGACAAAAAUGGCAAGUUUUCAGGACUUUUA